GAUGAAGAACGUAGCGAACUGCGAUAAGUAAUGUGAAUUGCAGAAUUCAGUGAAUCAUCGAGUCUUUGAACGCACAUUGCGCCCCCUGGCAUUCCGGGGGGCAUGCCUGUCCGAGCGUCAUUGCUGCCCUUCAAGCCCGGCUUGUGUGUUGGGUCGUCGUCCCCCCCGGGGGACGGGCCCGAAAGGCAGCGGCGGCACCGCGUCCGGUCCUCGAGCGUAUGGGGCUUUGUCACCCGCUCGAUUAGGGCCGGCCGGGCACCAGCCGGCGUCUCCAACCUUCUAUUUUACCAGGUUGACCUCGGAUCAGGUAGGGAUACCCGCUGAACUUAAGCAUAUCAAUAAGCGGAGGA
rnacentral:misc_RNA from 1 species